UUUCGUGUGAACGUGGGAGACUCUGAGGUCUGUUCUCCUCCAUCUGAGGUCUGUUCCCAUAUCAGUGUCCAGACCCAGGUCUAGUGACCUGGAACAGGCCUUCCUGCCCAGGAUACACAUUUCUAUGAGUUUUGAUUAAGGUGACAGCUGUGUAACCAUGACCACAGUCAAGGCGUGGGAUCAAUCUGGGAUCCCCCGUGCUUGGGAGAGCUGACUAAUCAAGAUGUGAUCACGCGAGCGACAGGGGCGGGGAACCCCCCGGGAGUGAGCGAGUUGGUGAAGGAAGGAGGGGAGGUAAGAUUUGCAAAUGGCCCCCAAAUGGGCUUCUCAGGCAGGAUCCUUCCUCUGGGGAGGGAUGGGGGACUGAUAAAGACCUCAGUUCUGCACCUAAGUCAGCCCUGGGUAGAUUUCAGGUUGGUCUGAAGGAAUGAAUUGCUACUUUGUGUCUCUCAUUCCCAGCAAGUUUGUGUUUGUAUCCGCCCCCCAGUUCAGCCCAAAGUUGUUGUUGUUGAUGGCAGUGCUGGUGGUGGGGUGCGAGUGUCUAUUUUAACUCUAACCUCUCUAUGUUGAGUUAAGAGGGGAAAAGAUUUGUCUGACCCUGGGUAGGACAGAGGAGGUGCCAAGGGUGCUAAAGCUGUGCACUGCCGGGGUGGCAGCCGCCCUGGCUCCUGGGGAAAGCGUGCAGGGCAGAUGGAGAGGGACAGUCCACAGUGAAGUCCACAGUGAAGAGCACCAGGGCCCCUGGGGGGCGCCCUCCACCUGAAGCUUUCUCCUGCAGUGGCCCCACUCUGCUUCAGGUACAUGCACUUAGAUUCUCCCAGGUGACUCCUCAAAGCCCAGACACAGCCCUGGAGAGGCCGUGUGAACCAUCUUCAGGGCUCUCAGCUCCUGACACUUGAAGUCUCCCUGCUUAUCUUCUGCGUAAGGAGCCUUUUGGGGCAAAACGAAGGGUGGGGGUCACAGCCCUUGGGAAGCUGCUAAAGGCCCCUCCAGUGUGUCUGUAGUUAGAAUACUUCUCUUGGUAAUUGCUAAUGCUGACAAAUUGAGUACUAGUUAGCUGUGAUGUGCCGUGAACCUACCAGGUCUCACUAAUAAUGUGAAUGGUUCAUUUCAUGUAUCAGCUUGACCCCCGGGGUGACCAGAUAUUUGCCUGGAUAUAAUUCUGGAUGUUUCUAUGAGGGUAUUUUAAGAUGAAAUUAAUAUUCUCCCUCCCCCCGAGGUUAAUAUUUAAAUUCACAGACUGAACAGAGUAGAUUACCCCAUGCAACAGACUGAAUGUGUCCCUUCCAAAAUUCAUAUAUUGAAAAUCUAACCUCUAAGGUGAUGCUAUUAGGAGGUGGGUCCUUAGGUCACAAGAGUGGAGCCCCCAUAAAUGGCAUAAAUGCUCCUAUAGAAAAUCCCCCAGAGAGAUCCCUCACCUUCUGCCACUGAGGACACAGCAAGACGUUGGCAACCUGGAAGCAGGCCCUGGCCACAGCUCCACCAUGCUCACACCUGAUCUUGAACUUGCAGCCUCCAGGACAAUGAGGAGUAAAUUUCCGUUGUUUAUAACCCACUCAGUCUAUGGUGGUUUUUUUUAUAGCCUCCCAAAUGGACUAAUGUGCAUGGGCCUCAUCCAAUGAGUUGGAGACCUGACCUUCACUGACUAAGGGCGAUGUCCCAUGCCUGGCAGACUGUGCAAUGGGACACUGGCCCUUCCUGACUCUGGCCAGCCUCCGCGUUCAGCCUUCCAGGGCAGCGCAGACUUGCCUUGUUUGUUUCAGCCUCUGAGUGGUGUUCCACAGAAUAGGUGCACCGCUACGAACUGUGCCAUUGUCUUAUUAACGGUCAUUUACUUCUGAUCUUGCUGGGUUACAACUGCGCCACAGUGCACCUCCUUAACAUUUCAAAAACUCCAAUAUAACCUGUUACACACUUACUAUCACUUUAUGUGGCACCGAAAAAAGAAAAGAUGCUGCUAAAUUAAAAUAAGAUAUGUCCCUGAUUGCAAGACGCAUACACGUUAGCAGUGUUAAAGCGCACUCCCCACCCUCGAGGGUCUGCACUGCCUUUGCUCCAGUGUGUGAGAAAGUCUCUGGGACUCCAGAGUCUUCAAUGUGGAGGUGCCAGGCUAUAAUGCGAAGGUGACAAGGGGAACAGUGUUCCAUCAAAGGGCACAGCACAUGCAAAGACCCGGAAACUGAGAAGAACACGGAUUUGAGUCACUGACAGAUACUGCCAAGUUGUCCCCCAGGAGGAGGGCAGUGGUGAUAUAUGACUGUCCUCAGUUGCCUUGUUCAGUGAUAUAAUUAUUUUCUUCUGUAACAAACCCCCACACGUGGCAUUGGCAUACAACAAGAGAAAUUAAUUCUCACACAGUUUUAGAGGCCGGAAGUCUGGAGUCCCAGCAUCACGCCCACUCGCUCUCAAGGCUCUAGGGGAAAUCCUGCCUUGUUGCCUCUAGCUUUGGGCCCCAGGCUCUUGUUCUGAGUCUCCAAUCUUCUGGCUUUCUCUCACAGGGACACUUGUCAUUGGAUUUGGGGUUCACCUGGAUAAUCCAAAAUAAUCUCAUCUCAAUAUCCUUACUCUAAUUAUACUUGCAAAGACCCUUUUACCAAAUAACUUCAUAUUCACAGUUCCAGGUGGACGUAUUUUGGGGGCCUCCACUCAACCCACUAUGGAGGUAACAUCUCUUGCAUGCCUGCCAUGUCCUCAGGUCACCAGUGUCUAGCCAAGGGCUGACCACAAUGGCCCAGGGGUUGGGUAGGGUGGGCCUACCUCUGGAGAGGCUCCCACCAGCACAAGAGGCAAAAUGUGGAGCCUGGUUGAGAGACAUGUGACCAGUCUGUAGGCAGGAGGGAUGGGCAGGCUGCCUGUGACAGAGGCAGAGGUGGGGCCUCCCUCCUCGGGUACCAGGGUGCUCAGCAGAAACCUAGACAGCCCCAGGAUAGACUAGUGACAUUCAGGGCCUGACUCAGGAUGGCUGAACUUGGAAGGCUGAGAAGACUUCUCUGGAAUCAAGAUAUUUGUAACUAAGACUUAAGUCCUGUUGACCCCAAGAAGGGCUCCAACUCCUCACCAUCUGUAAUUGCUUGUGACCUUAUAAACCCCCGUCUCCUUUGGGAUCAUGUUCAUCUCACUCCUGAUAACUGCCUGGAGGAUUAGUUCUCAUCCACCAUCCUGAAUAGCUUUCAAGUCUCCAUUUUGCAGAAGACAUGUAUAGAAACAGUCCCUGCCUAUGAAAAGCCCCAAUCCUGGGGGAGAGAAAUGAAAGUAACCACGAUCAAAAUAUAGCUUGGUAAGCACUGUAGCAACACGGGCCAUGCUGAUGAGGGCAGCUGCCUCAUGCUGGGCUGUGCCCCAAGUUACAGGUGAGGGAGCUGAGGCCCUGGGAGGGCCAGGUGCCUGCCCCAGCUGCAUACAACACCCAUCUAGGGUGAGGGAGUUUUGGUGGGGUGACACCUGUGUGAGGCAGAAAGGGAGGAUGCCGCUGGAGUUCGGAAGAUCUCCCAGUUGAGUGCCCUCUAAUAGAGUCUGGGACUCCAGCAGGGGAGCCCAGAGCACAGACAGCCCCAGAAGGGCCACCUUGCAGGCCAUCUAUGCGGCUGCCUCUGUGACAGACACUUACCUUGGAACCUGUGGGGCUCCUAACAUGGACCUUGUGUGAGUUUCCUGGGGCUGCUGUUGUGAAUUAACACAAUUGGGUGGCUUUAAACAAUGGAAAUGUAUUCUCUUAACUGUCUGGAGCCUGGAGUACGUCAGGUGUGAGCAGGACCCGUUGCCCCCAAAGGCUCCAGGGGAGAGCCCCGCCUUCCGCUUCCAGCUCCCGGAGAAGCUGCGUUACUGCCUUCUCUGCCAUCUUCCCACAGCCUCCUUCCUUGGGUGUCUCCCCAGGACCCCAGUCUUUGAAUUUAGGGCUCACUCUUGUCAAGUAUGGUCCCAUCUGAAAAGAGAGGGUCUUUGAUUGCACCCUCAAAGGCCCUAUUUCUAAAUGAGAUCACCAUCUGAGGCUUGGGAUGAGCAUGAAUUUUGAGAGUCGUUGUUCAACCUGGUUCUGUUCCUGUCCAGACGGGAGGAGUUUCUCACAAGUGUGGUUUAAACUGAGACCUGCAGGGGCCAGAGAAGGAGCAUGUCCUGGGCAGAGAACGGCCCUGUGCAAAGGAGGCUGGCGAGCAGGAAGUAGGGUGAGUGGUUAGAACAUUCUAGAAAUGAAGAGGGGAGAGGGUUACAUGGAAGGCAGAGGGCCAAAGUUAGCAGGGCUGGACCAGGAAGGGCCUCUAAAGUCUGGAAUCUGGCCUUUCCCCAAGCCGUGGAAGGGCUCUCACCAGGGUCGGAAGCAAGUGGCGUCUAUCCUGCCAGAGGAUGCUACAUCUCCUCCCUCUCCCACAUGGCUGGACCCAGCUGAGGCAAGUCUCAGUACCAGCUCUUAUCAGGGUGCCAGCCAGGACGGGCCCAGGGAGCAAAGAGGACCAGAGGGAGAGUGGUAACGUCCUGCUGCUCGCAGAGUGCCCGGCUGCCUCUGGCAGGGGACAGGAGCGCUCAGGUGACAGAUGCAAGUAUGUUCAUCUUCUUCUCCGAGUAGGAGAGCAGGUGGAAGAGCCCGUCUGGACACGUCGGGACUGAGACUUUCUCCCUCCACGUGGAAUAAGGUCUGAGCUUCUCAGCAACAUAACCUGGUCGCCAGACGCUCCACAAGGCCGGACCUGGCAGCCUGGUGGCAUGAAAGGAGACUGUAUCCCAACUUCCUUCCUCGCUGCCCCAGUUGUCACUAACUCACCCAUCCGGAGGAUCAGUCUCACCAGCCAACCUGGCCAGGCUGGAGCACCCCACUGUCUGAUGAAACACGCAUACCUGUGGUGUCACUGUGAAGGAAGGUUGCAGAGGUGGUCCAGACCUACAGCCAGCUGACUCCAGGUGACAAAGAGGACCCUGGAAAGUAAGGGUGUGGCUCCAAUCAGUUGGAGACCUUAACAGCAAAAUUCGAGGUUUUUCUGAGAAGAAUUUCUGUGACUCAGCACCAUAGCUCAGUGGUUAGGGCACUAGCCACAUGCACCGGAGCUGGUGGGUUCGAACCCACCCCAGGCCUGCUAAACGACAACAAAAAAGUAGCCAGGAGUUGUGGUGGGUGCUUGUAGUCCCAGCUACUUUAAAAAAAAAAAAAUUUCCAUGUCAAGACCAUCGAGAGAGUUGCCCAGCCCCACACGAGAUCCAGCCUCUCCCAGCCCCGCUGCUCCCAGCCCCGCCAGGCCCACGCCCACCUGAGCCCGCUCCUUACACCUAAAGCUCUCUCGGGAGAACCCUGACACCAAACUGCUCACCCAUGUCCUGGCAGCAGUCUCUCUCCCCCCCCACCUCCACUCUUUUACAGUUUCUGUCUUACUUUCAUUUGUUACUUCAACAAUGACCUAGAUUCUUCACAACAAGCAGAAGCCCAGGCGCUGACUCUGCAGAUGAGAACCCCUCUCCUGUCCUCCCUUCCCUCCACUCUGGCCUGGCUCUCUCUUCUCCUCUUCCCCACUGUCCCACUCCCCAGGGGCUGGGCACCAGGCAGGGGGCACACUCCAGGAGCCAGUGUGGGUGUGGCGUGGAUGUGGACGCAGGAAGGGGGCCGCAGAGAUAAAACCCUUUCUCUGUGAAGCUGGGUGGUGUGGGGGAGGCCGGGCCCACAGAGAGGACGAUGGGCCUUUCGCCCAUCACAUAGACACUAUUUGAAGAUUAGACUUGGCAGCCAGAGAGAAGUUGAAAGCCACUGUUUGAGGCCAGUCCUUAGUCUAGGCUAUGCUGGAGCUCAGAGUCCAUAAGGGAGCUCAAGGGAGCUGCUGGAGAUCAGGUCAGAAAGAUGGCAGAGGCCAUCCAGGCACAGCCUCGGAUUUCAGGUGGCCGACCAUGUGCUUGGUUUGGUCAGUAGUGAGGACGUGGAGGGUUUUGAGCAAGGGAGUGGCCUCAGGGGUGGAGGGCAGAGCAGGGGACCCUACAGCCUGGAGGCCAGUGGGGAUGGGGAAGAGGAGGGGGGAGACGUGGCUUGGUGGCUUUGCCUAGGGCAGAUUGAGCUACUGAGCCAAGGGCACAGCUGGAGAGUCACCCCCAAAGGGGUGAAAGGUAUCUGCUCGGUUGAUGCGUGGAUGGUGCAAGGGGGUUUCUAUGCAGAUGACACUGGUUAUAAAGACUUACGAUGAAACUAACCACGACCACCAUGUGUCCUUGUAAGUCUGCAUUUCCAUACACAGAAUUUCUAAAAACCCAGAGCCUAUCUGUACCCAUCCUCACUGCCACAGGCUGCCCAGUGCCCCCAGUCCACAUGGCGGAGGGAGCGUCUCCCUCCUCUGCGCCAUGGAGUCAGGGGUUUCCCUCUCUCACAGCGGACUGGGUCAUGAGUGCCCCCAAGCAUAGGUCCUUUUGCCGAGGAGGGACCAGGCAGGGCCCAGUGCCACUGGGUUGGGGGCAGCCCCUCCCUGCAGCAUCUUUCCAUGACAUCCCCACAGGGAGGACAGGCGAGUCCUUUGGUGUCAUACUGGUUUCCUGGGGCUGCUGAAACAAAGGACCACAGACUGCUAGGCUUAAAGCAACAGAAUGCUCUUGUGGUUCUGAGAUGCUCUAUGGGCAGAGCCAUGCAGCUCCAGAGGCUCUGGGGGAGGUUCUGCCCUUUGGCCUUCCUGGGGGGCCCCUGCAUCUGGGGCCGUGGCCAUCACUCUCUGAACUCUGCCUCUCUCCUCAGCCUUCUCUUUUCUCCGUCUCCUCUUCUGUUUCUUCUAAGGACACCUGCCCUUGGUUUGGGCCCAUCUGGAUAACCCAGGCGAUCUCACCUGAGAUCCUUAACGUCAUUAUAUCUGCAAAGGCCCUUUUCCCAAACAGGGACUUUUUCAUAGGUUCUGGGAUCAGGGUGUGAACGUACCCUUUUCGGGGCCACCAUUCACCCCAAUGCAGGCACAGAGGGCAGUGAGCCCCCUGGGGGGUCCCGAGCUCUGAGAUGGGGUGGCAGGUCGGCCCCCUCACCAGCAUCUCCUUCCAGCUGAGAUGGUGUGGUCCGUCUCUGCCUGAACCCCGGGCACCUGGGUGUUCCCUCUGCGGGUGCCUAGCUCGGUGUGCUCUUUUGGGCAGAGACCCAUUUCCUCUCCUCCUCCCCUCCAAUAAGAUGAACCUCUGCUGCAGCCUCUCUGAUCCCGCCUGACAAUCCUCUGUCCUCACAUCCUAAAGAGAAAUGUGCUUUGCAGGUUCAACCACUGGCUUGGAUCUUGGAAACAAGCAGACCCCGGUUGGAAUCUCAGCUCAGAACCACAUUAGCUGUGUGUUCAAGGUCAAAUCCUUUGACUUCCCCAAUCUUCCUUUCACAUGUUAUACAAAGAACGUAAUAAGGCCCUGUGCUAUUUUGACUAAAAAAAUAGUUUCUC